rnacentral:lncRNA from 1 species
CCCCGCUGCAGGCCCCGCCCCUUACGCUGUCCGGGGUGCGGAUGAGGGAAGGAGUGCGCAUGCGUCCAGAGCCGGGCGGCCAUCUUGCUUCGGCUACGCCAGCGCCUGAAGUAAACGUUGACUACCGUCGGGGCUCACAGCCUUUCCCAUCUCCGUUCCCCGAGCUCUCACUACUCAGUAACCUGCUCUUCUUCAUGAACGGGACAUGGAGGAAGAAAGAAUGGCUGCUGAGAUUUUGAAAAAUAUGACACAGGUUGUCCACUCCACAUACCUCAUCUGAUUUCCUCAUGGGAACAAGCAGAAGAUGCAGUGACGUUGAAGAGAGGGCAUCCCCAGGGGACCUUUAAGGAGGAAUCCCAGGAAGGCAAGAAUUCUUGGGAGAAAUUCCUAGUUGGGGGGUAUUACAUUAGGAAAAACAAAUAAACAAAAAACAAAUUUGUUUUUAUCUCAGGAGGCUGAUCUUCAAAAGAUAACUUUAGAUUACUUUUUGACUUUUUUUCAGUCCUCUCAUGCUUUCCAUGUUCUUUGGAAACUUUCAUAUUUCCUCUGAAAGUUAAUAUUUGAUGAAGUGUAUUUUAUCUACUUCCUUUUUGCUUUUCUCUCCUAAUAUCCUGUCUGUUACCAUUAUUCUUAUUCUUCACAGAGUUAUUUCUUAGCAAAUUGCUUACUGUUUUGACCCACUUAUCUAUAUUACCAAAGUCCUGAAACAGCCAAACUCCUAUAAAUCCUUUGCUCACAGGUGUCCUCACUUUUUUCUUUCAGAUUUUGAGACUCAUCUUAAAACCAAUGAAUCAGUUGCUCAGCAAGAUAUUUAUGGAGAAAAAAUAUCCAAUGAACAGAAAAUAGUAAGAUUGAAAAGGAAUGAUUCCUGGAUCUCCAUUUUACAUGAAAACUCUGAAUACCAUGGUAUUGAUUGUCAGAAUAAAACCCAUGAGAGACAUUUGAGGUGAGUGGUGUUCAAAUAAGAGAAGGCAACAUCUCAGGAGAGAAUCUUAAACUCAUGAGAAUUUUAAAAUCAUGAAUUUUAAAAUACAGUUUUUAUUUUAGAACAUAGACCUACAUCAAAAAUUGCUCUUUCACAAAGAAUUUUCACAUUAUAAUAGGCCACA